GACAUUAAAAAAACAACGGACAAAAAACCUGUCGAAAAGGAUAUACCCCGAAAAAAGUCACAAAAAAUAACAGAAGCAAAUUCUCCAAUAAAACCUACAGCUACACAACCUAAAAAACAAGUUCCCAAAAAUGUGGACCCUUACUACAUGAAUGAAAAUUACGAGCAAUCAGGGACUGUGGUAGGUGUCGACGACUUUGACGCGGAUCUGGAUGCCUCAAUAUUGCGAAAGGCGAUGAAAGGAAUCGG